AGAGUUUGAUCCUGGCUCAGGAUGAACGCUGACAGAAUGCUUAACACAUGCAAGUCUACUUGAAUUUGGGUUUUUAACUUAGGUUUGGGUGGCGGACGGGUGAGUAACGCGUAAAGAACUUGCCUCACAGUUAGGGACAACAUUUGGAAACGAAUGCUAAUACCUAAUAUUAUGAUAAUAGGGCAUCCUAUAAUUAUGAAAGCUAUAUGCGCUGUGAGAGAGCUUUGCGUCCCAUUAGCUAGUUGGAGAGGUAACGGCUCACCAAGGCGAUGAUGGGUAGCCGGCCUGAGAGGGUGAACGGCCACAAGGGGACUGAGACACGGCCCUUACUCCUACGGGAGGCAGCAGUGGGGAAUAUUGGACAAUGGACCGAGAGUCUGAUCCAGCAAUUCUGUGUGCACGAUGAAGUUUUUCGGAAUGUAAAGUGCUUUCAGUUGGGAAGAAAAAAAUGACGGUACCAACAGAAGAAGUGACGGCUAAAUACGUGCCAGCAGCCGCGGUAAUACGUAUGUCACGAGCGUUAUCCGGAUUUAUUGGGCGUAAAGCGCGUCUAGGUGGUUAUGUAAGUCUGAUGUGAAAAUGCAGGGCUCAACUCUGUAUUGCGUUGGAAACUGUGUAACUAGAGUACUGGAGAGGUAAGCGGAACUACAAGUGUAGAGGUGAAAUUCGUAGAUAUUUGUAGGAAUGCCGAUGGGGAAGCCAGCUUACUGGACAGAUACUGACGCUAAAGCGCGAAAGCGUGGGUAGCAAACAGGAUUAGAUACCCUGGUAGUCCACGCCGUAAACGAUGAUUACUAGGUGUUGGGGGUCGAACCUCAGCGCCCAAGCAAACGCGAUAAGUAAUCCGCCUGGGGAGUACGUACGCAAGUAUGAAACUCAAAGGAAUUGACGGGGACCCGCACAAGCGGUGGAGCAUGUGGUUUAAUUCGA
rnacentral:rRNA from 1 species